rnacentral:rRNA from 1 species
UACAGAGGCUGCAAGCGUUAUUCGGAUUCACUGGGCGUAAAGGGUGCGCAGGCGGCCAAGUGUGUUAGGCGUGAAAGCCUGAGGCUUAACCUCAGAAUUGCACCUAAAACUACAUGGCUAGAGCAUUGGAGAGGGUAGCGGAAUUCACGGUGUAGCAGUGAAAUGCGUAGAUAUCGUGAGGAACACCAGAGGCGAAGGCGGCUACCUGGACAAUUGCUGACGCUCAGGCACGAAAGCGUGGGGAGCAAAAGGG